rnacentral:rRNA from 1 species
UACGUAGGGUGCAAGCGUUGUCCGGAAUUAUUGGGCGUAAAGAGCUUGUAGGCGGUUUGUCGCGUCUGCUGUGAAAAUUUCGGGGCUCAACCCCGAACUUGCAGUGGGUACGGGCAGACUAGAGUGUGGUAGGGGAGACUGGAAUUCCUGGUGUAGCGGUGAAAUGCGCAGAUAUCAGGAGGAACACCGAUGGCGAAGGCAGGUCUCUGGGCCAUAACUGACGCUGAGGUGCGAAAGCGUGGGGAGCAAACAGG